rnacentral:rRNA from 1 species
GAUGAACGCUGGCGGCGUGCCUAAUACAUGCAAGUCGAGCGAACGGACGAGAAGCUUGCUUCUCUGAUGUUAGCGGCGGACGGGUGAGUAACACGUGGAUAACCUACCUAUAAGACUGGGAUAACUUCGGGAAACCGGAGCUAAUACCGGAUAAUAUUUUGAACCGCAUGGUUCAAAAGUAAAAGACGGUCUUGCUGUCACUUAUAGAUGGAUCCGCGCUGCAUUAGCUAGUUGGUAAGGUAACGGCUUACCAAGGCAACGAUGCAUAGCCGACCUGAGAGGGUGAUCGGCCACACUGGAACUGAGACACGGUCCAGACUCCUACGGGAGGCAGCAGUAGGGAAUCUUCCGCAAUGGGCGAAAGCCUGACGGAGCAACGCCGCGUGAGUGAUGAAGGUCUUCGGAUCGUAAAACUCUGUUAUUAGGGAAGAAUAUAUGUGUAAGUAACUGUGCACAUCUUGACGGUACCUAAUCAGAAAGCCACGGCUAACUACGUGCCAGCAGCCGCGGUAAUACGUAGGUGGCAAGCGUUAUCCGGAAUUAUUGGGCGUAAAGCGCGCGUAGGCGGUUUUUUAAGUCUGAUGUGAAAGCCCACGGCUCAACCGUGGAGGGUCAUUGGAAACUGGAAAACUUGAGUGCAGAAGAGGAAAGUGGAAUUCCAUGUGUAGCGGUGAAAUGCGCAGAGAUAUGGAGGAACACCAGUGGCGAAGGCGACUUUCUGGUCUGUAACUGACGCUGAUGUGCGAAAGCGUGGGGAUCAAACAGGAUUAGAUACCCUGGUAGUCCACGCCGUAAACGAUGAGUGCUAAGUGUUAGGGGGUUUCCGCCCCUUAGUGCUGCAGCUAACGCAUUAAGCACUCCGCCUGGGGAGUACGACCGCAAGGUUGAAACUCAAAGGAAUUGACGGGGACCCGCACAAGCGGUGGAGCAUGUGGUUUAAUUCGAAGCAACGCGAAGAACCUUACCAAAUCUUGACAUCCUCUGACCCCUCUAGAGAUAGAGUUUUCCCCUUCGGGGGACAGAGUGACAGGUGGUGCAUGGUUGUCGUCAGCUCGUGUCGUGAGAUGUUGGGUUAAGUCCCGCAACGAGCGCAACCCUUAAGCUUAGUUGCCAUCAUUAAGUUGGGCACUCUAAGUUGACUGCCGGUGACAAACCGGAGGAAGGUGGGGAUGACGUCAAAUCAUCAUGCCCCUUAUGAUUUGGGCUACACACGUGCUACAAUGGACAAUACAAAGGGUAGCGAAACCGCGAGGUCAAGCAAAUCCCAUAAAGUUGUUCUCAGUUCGGAUUGUAGUCUGCAACUCGACUAUAUGAAGCUGGAAUCGCUAGUAAUCGUAGAUCAGCAUGCUACGGUGAAUACGUUCCCGGGUCU